AACUUGAAUUUACAAAAGAUUUCAUUCACUUCAACAACUCUAUAACAACUGUUUUCUAUUCUCCUUUCUAUUUUUAUUCCUUUUUUUCUUUUUUCGAAGGAGUGUGUAUUGAUUCACAUCCUUCUAUUUUAUUUCAUUCGUUUUUUUCUUUUCUAUUUUUCUUUUUUUUUUCUGCCAACUUCUGAAAUAUUACAAACAUAAUUAUUC
rnacentral:lncRNA from 1 species